AAAACUCCUCUCAAAAUCCUAAUCUCACCUCUUCUUCUUAAUCUAUGGUGGCCGAAAAUACUCAUCCUAAUCUCACCUCUUCUUCUCACUCUAUGGUCGUCAAGCUCACCUUUUCCAUACCACCAUCUUCUUCGCCUCCAUCUAGUUCAACUUCUUCUUCUUAAUCUAAACUCCAAUUCUCCAAACCCAUCAAAACCCAUCUCAAACGCCCGUCAAUGUCCUCCUCCAUCUCACUCCCAACUUUAACCACCAUCCACCCCGUUCGAAGCUCGAGCUCUGUACACCUCCAAGGACAAGAUCGGAGUUUGAGGCUACUAAGUUUUAGUUCCUUCACUCGGUGCAUGUCCUUUUUGAAUUAAGCGUUUUUGCAUGGAAGAAGAAGAAAAUGAUGUGAUUUAGUUUUUCUUAUUUGUAUAUGAUUUGUUAGUGUUGUAUAUGUAUUCAGAUUUGGUUUUGUAUAUGUAUUUAGAUUUGGUUUUGUAUAUGUGUUGAGAUUUGGUUUUGUAUAUCCAUUUG
rnacentral:lncRNA from 1 species